rnacentral:rRNA from 1 species
GGCGAACGCUGGCGGCGUGCUUAACACAUGCAAGUCGAACGGAAAGGCCCUGCUUUUUUGGGGUGCUCGAGUGGCGAACGGGUGAGUAACACGUGAGUAACCUGCCCUUGACUUUCGUAUAACUUCAGGAAACUGGGGCUAAGCCCGUAUAGGAUCUCCUGCACCAUGGUGGGGGGUGGAAAGUUUAGGCGGGUGGGGAUGGACUCGCGGCUUAUCAGCUAGUUGGUUGGGUUGUGGCUUACCAAGGCUUUGACCGGUAGCCGGCCUGAGAUGGUGACCGGCGACAUGGGGACUGAGACAGGGACCAGACUGCAACGGGAGGCAGCAGUGGGGAAUAUUGCACAGUGGGAGGAAGCGUGAGGAAGAAACGCUGGGUGCGGGAUGACGGCUUGCGGGUUGUAAACCGCUUUCGCCUGUGACGAAGCGUGAGUGACGGUAAUGGGUAAAGAAGCACCGGCUAACUACGUG